GGAGCUGCUGGUGGUUUAUCUUUGCACGUUCGAUGAGUCCGCAGCCUGUUCCGCUCUGCUGGAUGUAAACACUGUCACAGGAAGCAGAUACCCAUCGAACUCACAGGGAGAACACGAGUGGCCUCUUCACGUGGCUCGACUUUAUCACAGCUCGUAUCACUUUCGCUCCACAGUCGCUGGUCAAGCAGACUGCAGUACUGACCAUCACUUCGCGGGGGUGCUCUUCACUGACUACAUUUUCCAUUUCUACAGACACUGCACAAUACACACCGACAGACAGAUUCCUAAAAAUAUCACACUUUAAUAUAUUAAAUACAGAUGUUUGAAAUAUUCUCACAAAGAUGAUCGUCAGAGAAAUCGUUUUUUAAAAGAUGUGUUUUUUAUUAUGACAUAAAUCAUUUGUGCUGAAAUAAUAAACUGUCACUGCUGAAGUGUUUAGAUUUUACAAUCUUCUUUAAUUCACAGUUUUUUGUUUCCUGCGUCGUUAAUGUUCAGCAAGUCGAG